rnacentral:rRNA from 1 species
GACGAACGCUAGCGGCGUGCCUAAUACAUGCAAGUUGAGCGCUGAAGGUUGGUACUUGUACCAACUGGAUGAGCAGCGAACGGGUGAGUAACGCGUGGGGAAUCUGCCUUUGAGCGGGGGACAACAUUUGGAAACGAAUGCUAAUACCGCAUAAAAACUUUAAACACAAGUUUUAAGUUUGAAAGAUGCAAUUGCAUCACUCAAAGAUGAUCCCGCGUUGUAUUAGCUAGUUGGUGAGGUAAAGGCUCACCAAGGCGAUGAUACAUAGCCGACCUGAGAGGGUGAUCGGCCACAUUGGGACUGAGACACGGCCCAAACUCCUACGGGAGGCAGCAGUAGGGGAUCUUCGGCAAUGGACGAAAGUCUGACCGAGCAACGCCGCGUGAGUGAAGAAGGUUUUCGGAUCGUAAAACUCUGUUGGUAGAGAAGAACGUUGGUGAGAGUGGAAAGCUCAUCAAGUGACGGUAACUACCCAGAAAGGGACGGCUAACUACGUG